ACUCUACUCCUCUCUCUUCCUUCCACUUCCUUCAGAGAGAUUAAUCUCCUCCUUCAUCCUUCUAACCUGUCUUGCUGGGGAGCUGGAGGCAAGAGGAUGCUCCAGAAGAGACCCUUCUCCAUAGAGCAUCAUUCCUGGCUCUGCCUGAGGAUCCUCGUUAGCUAACCUGCCUGCAUGAUGAAAGACAUGACUUCUUGUUUUAUUCUCCCCAGCACUUGGAGAGAAAUCAGAGCAGCUCUCUGAAAUCGAGAACGAAGCCCCCUCUUCCUGGAGCCUUGCAGACUGUUGGAGGGAACUGCUGUGGCUGUUUACCUAGUCCUGGACCGUCCUUGCCCUUGCUCCAAGACCUAACAGUGAAGGCCAGCUCUCCUCUUCUAGUGACAGCUCACUCGCUUUGGAAGAGGACAGUCUUUAUGUCAUACACACUGAGGAAGGUAAGGGAUCGUGCCCACGUGCCAAGAAACUGCAAGCUCUUGACAGCAGGCAUGGGAGUUAUCUUAGAAGAACGUGCCCUUGGCCAGCGCCUGAAGCCUAGCCAUCCCGAUGGAUCACUCCUGAACGUUUGCCCCAUAGAAACUGCAUGAUAAUGAAUGUUUGUUGUCUUAAGUUCAGUGUGAGGGUGAACUGUUACCGAGCAGUAUAUAACCCUAUAGACAGGGUAAUUGAAGAGGCUCCCCCUUAACCUCGUGGGCAAAAGUCAUCUUGAUUUAUUUAUCACUUUGUGCAUUUCAAAGAAGAUAUGUGGGCCUCUCAAGCCCUAUGAACAGAAUGGAGAACAUGCCAUUUCAGAAGCUAAUUGUCCCACAGCCCUGGCAGUGUGAGACCCUCCAGGACCAAAAUGAAUAGGCCAGCUUUUAGUGUCUCUCUCACCAAGCAAGCAUUGUCCAUGUCCCUGUCUCAUAGGCAACUUCAACAGAAAGACCCUGGAAAUCGAUGCAAAAUAAAAGCGGGAGGGAAAAAGUCCCCAACUAUAAUUCUUCCUGAGGUGCUAUGCAACACUCCGCCGUGCGCAGCCUCCCUGCCUCUUCUGGUUCUCAUAACACACAGGAGUUUACGGCCUUGGAUCUGGCCCAAAAUUGUAGAUAGCCAUCAAUUUUGAGAACGUUCAUAUAUUCUGAACAGUGAAACUGUUCAUGGUUGUGGUGUUUAUGGCUGGGGCUUAAAUAGGAAGCUAAUAAAGAUAAAAAACUGUU
rnacentral:lncRNA from 1 species